GGCGGCGUGCCUAAUACAUGCAAGUCGAGCGAAUCUCAGAGAAGCUGCUCUCUGAAGGUUAGCGGCGGACGGGUGAGUAACACGUAGGUAACCUGCCUGUAAGCCUGGGAUAACUAGCGGAAACGUUAGCUAAUACCGGAUACACAAUGUACCCGCAUGGGGAGAUUGGGAAAGACGGAGCAAUCUGUCACUUAUGGAUGGGCCUGCGGCGCAUUAGCUAGUUGGUAGGGUAACGGCUUACCAAGGCGACGAUGCGUAGCCGACCUGAGAGGGUGAACGGCCACACUGGGACUGAGACACGGCCCAGACUCCUACGGGAGGCAGCAGUAGGGAAUCUUCCGCAAUGGACGCAAGUCUGACGGAGCAACGCCCGCGUGAGUGAAGAAGGUUUUCGGAUCGUAAAGCUCUGUUGCCAGGGAAGAACGACCCUAAGAGUAACUGCUUAGGGAGUGACGGUACCUGAGAAGAAAGCCCCGGCUAACUACGUGCCAGCCGCCGC
rnacentral:rRNA from 1 species